GAUGAACGCUGGCGGCGUGCCUAAUACAUGCAAGUCGAGCGAACAGACGAGGAGCUUGCUCCUCUGACGUUAGCGGCGGACGGGUGAGUAACACGUGGAUAACCUACCUAUAAGACUGGGAUAACUUCGGGAAACCGGAGCUAAUACCGGAUAAUAUAUUGAACCGCAUGGUUCAAUAGUGAAAGACGGUUUUGCUGUCACUUAUAGAUGGAUCCGCGCCGCAUUAGCUAGUUGGUAAGGUAACGGCUUACCAAGGCAACGAUGCGUAGCCGACCUGAGAGGGUGAUCGGCCACACUGGAACUGCGACACGGUCCAGACUCCUACGGGAGGCAGCAGUAGGGAAUCUUCCGCAAUGGGCGAAAGGUUGACGGAGCAACGCCGCGUGAGUGAUGAAGGUCUUCGGAUCGUAAAACUCUGUUAUUAGGGAAGAACAAAUGUGUAAGUAACUAUGCACGUCUUGACGGUACCUAAUCAGAAAGGCACGGCUAACUACGUG
rnacentral:rRNA from 1 species